CCCUCCUCCCCCCCCCCCUCACUUUUUGAGACCCAUUUUAACACCAGACUGCAGGAGCACUCCACUUUUUCUGUAAUUUGAUCACAAUCACUUUGACCACGACAGGUAGGGACUACUGUUGUGUGGUCAAACCGCUUUUAACCCACAUGGAUCACAGGGACAGAAGAGCAGAGCACCCCUCACCGUACCAGCUGAUAUAUGGGCUCACAUUCCUUAGUCUUGUUUGUAUACCUUUGUUAGUAAUCCCAAAGAAAAAUGGAAAAGACUUUUAAGCUCACCUUUUGUGCCUAUUUAUAUUUUAUGUUUAAUUUAUUUUUGGAAUUAUUUUAAAUGUUUGUUUGGUUGGGUUUUUUUUAGCCCCUGCAAGGGCUCUCUGUACAUAUAAAAGGUAUGUUUAUAUAUAUAUAUAUAUUGUAACAAUGUCUUGACAGCAAUCUGGUUGUUUCAACAUUGGAGUAGAAUGAUACUUCGACUCCAGUUCAGGUCUAAUGCCCCUCUGAUUAAGAAAUUGUAUUAACUUGUGUAAGGAACACUUGGUCAUUCCAUUAAUUUCAAGCACUCACAUUUAUUUUCUGCUCCAUUCUAUUUAAUUGGGUGUCGAUUGAGGCAGUAAAUGAACAGCAAUUUUGUCACAUUAUAGCACCUCAUCAGUACCACUGAUUUCUUGUCUCGGUGAAACACCAAUUUUUUUUUUUUUUUGAAGUUGAAUUCCACACACUGAUCAUCUGUGUGUCACAUCUCUAAACCGUCCCAUCCUGUGACUGGUUUUUCUCAAACGGUUUUACACAAGGACAAUCACGGCAUCAUUUCUUUUCCCCAUUACUUGCCAAUCAACUUCUAUUUGAAAAAAGGAAAAGUGGAAAGCAGUUUUUAAUCCACACUGAAAAUGAAGGACAUGAUUUAAAGUAAAGUGCUCUCUGUUUCUUUAGGGAAAAUAACAUUCACUGUACAUAUUUCACUUUAUACUGGUUGUUUUUUUUGUUUGUUUUUCUCUGGGUUUUAAUCUAGUCGCAGGUGAUUUUGCACAAAGUAUUUUACUGUCAUUGUAUGAGUGAACAAUGCUUCUUUUCAUACUGUGUAUUUUUUUUUUUCAGUAAGUGCACUUGAUUUUUCGUUUUUUUUUUCGUUAACUAUGUACACUAGAAGCAGCUUUGUUUGGUUGGAGAUGCACAUUUGGUAAUUGAUGUGUAGAUCACGUUUUCUUUCACUUGACCCAGUUCUGCGUAGUUGUAUUGUGUUGGGCAUUGACCUCAGGGGUCCGGUGUGCAGACGUCUGGUUGUAUCGAUGGAGCCCGGACACUGCACUGUUAUGUUUGGUUCAUUUUUAGUGCUCAUGUUUAGCACGGUUUGAGAAAAAAAUAAAAGUUGAAUCUUAAGGAG